AGAGACAGCAGUCGCCGCGGGAAUACGGAGGGUGCAAGCGUUAUCCGGAUUUAUUGGGUUUAAAGGGUCCGUAGGCGGAUCUGUAAGUCAGUGGUGAAAUCUCACAGCUUAACUGUGAAACUGCCAUUGAUACUGCAGGUCUUGAGUAAAUUUGAAGUGGCUGGAAUAAGUAGUGUAGCGGUGAAAUGCAUAGAUAUUACUUAGAACACCAAUUGCGAAGGCAGGUCACUAAGAUUUAACUGACGCUGAUGGACGAAAGCGUGGGGAGCGAACAGGAUUAGAUACCCCUGUAGUCCCUGUCUCUUAUAC
rnacentral:rRNA from 1 species